GAUGAACGCUGGCGGCGUGCUUAACACAUGCAAGUCGAACGGAAAGGCUCCUGCUUGCAGGGGUACUCGAGUGGCGAACGGAUGAGUAACACGUGGGUGAUCUGCCCUGCACUUCGGGAUAAGCCUGGGAAACUGGGUCUAAUACCGGAUAGGACGAUGGUUUGGAUGCCAUUGUGGAAAGUUUUUCGGUGUGGGAUGAGCUCGCGGCCUAUCAGCUUGUUGGUGGGGUAAUGGCCUACCAAGGCGUCGACGGGUAGCCGGCCUGAGAGGGUGUACGGCCACAUUGGGACUGAGAUACGGCCCAGACUCCUACGGGAGGCAGCAGUGGGGAAUAUUGCACAAUGGGCGCAAGCCUGAUGCAGCGACGCCGCGUGGGGGAUGACGGCCUUCGGGUUGCAAACUCCUUUCGCUAGGGACGAAGCGCAAGUGACGGUACCUGGAGAAGAAGCACCGGCUAACUACGUG
rnacentral:rRNA from 1 species